rnacentral:rRNA from 1 species
AGUUUGAUUUUUGCUUAAGGAUUUUACUUUUAAGUUAUAAUUAGAAUUGUCUAUAAUAUAUGGAAAGUUUAAAUAAAAAGUUUUAAGUCGUUCAAUAUAUAAAACUAAAUUAUUAAUGAAAAUUAGAUUUGGUAACUUAAAUUAGUCCUGGUAAAAUCUUGUGCCAGCAGCCGCGGUUAUACUUGAAGGGCAAGUAAAAUAUUUCGGGAUAAAAAUUCUUAUUUUAUUGAAUUAAAAUAAAUUUAAAUUUUAAAAAGGUAAAAUUAUCUAAAAUUUGAUACUAUUUUAUUUUUAUAAUAAAAGAAAAGUUGUAAAAUUUAGAGCAUAAACUAGGAUUAGAUCCCCCU